rnacentral:pre_miRNA from 1 species
AAUGUAUGACACCGUUGAUUUUUUUCUAACGUUUGACCAUUCGUCUUAUUCAAAAAAUUUAUAUAAUUAUUAUUUAUUUUAUUAUAACUUGAUUCGUCAUCAAAUAUUUUUUAAACAUGACAUAAAUAUUUUCAUAUUUGCAAAAAAAAUUUGAAUAAAAUGAAUGGUCAAACGUUGGUCGAAAAAUCAACGGCGUCAUAGGGA